rnacentral:misc_RNA from 1 species
GAAAUGCGAUAAGUAAUGUGAAUUGCAGAAUUCAGUGAAUCAUCGAAUCUUUGAACGCACAUUGCGCCCUCUGGUAUUCCGGGGGGCAUGCCUGUUCGAGCGUCAUUACAACCCUCAAGCUCUGCUUGGUAUUGGGCCACGCCGGUUCUGGCGGGCCUCAAAAUCAGUGGCGGUGCCAUCUGGCUCCAAGCGUAGUAAUUCUUCUCGCUUCUGGAGACCCAGGUGUGUGCUUGCCAGCAACCCCCAAUUUUAUCAAAGGUUGACCUCGGAUCAGGUAGGGAUACCCGCUGAACUUAA